rnacentral:tRNA from 1 species
GCGGGUGUAGCUCAGUUGGCAGAGCGUCAGCUUCCCAAGCUGAAGGCCGUCGGUUCGAACCCGAUUACCCGCUCCA